AUUCGUAUCGCCGCCACUCCCACAAACGUCUGUGACCACACCUACGCAUUUUUGCGUGUUUACAAUUCCAAUUUUAAACAGCCAAUCGACGUUUAAUUGUAGUUUUUACCAAGAACCGGAUUGGCUAUUUAAAAUUUGAAUUGCAAACAUGCAAAAAUAUGUAGGUGCGGUCGUAGACGUUUGUGGGAGUGGCGGCGAUACGAAU